rnacentral:rRNA from 1 species
UACGUAGGGGGCAAGCGUUGUCCGGAUUUAUUGGGCGUAAAGAGCGUGUAGGCGGCCAGGUAGGUCUGCUGUGAAAACUCGAGGCUUAACCUCGAGCUGUCGGCGGAAACCAUCUGGCUAGAGUCCGGAAGAGGAGAAUGGAAUUCCCGGUGUAGCGGUGAAAUGCGCAGAUAUCGGGAAGAACACCCGUGGCGAAGGCGACAUCCUGGACCGGUAUUGACGCUGAGGCGCGAAAGCCAGGGGAGCAAACGGG